rnacentral:rRNA from 1 species
UACGUAGGGUGCGAGCGUUAAUCGGAAUACUGGGCGUAAAGCGUGCGCAGGCGGCGCGUUAAGACAGGUGUGAAAGCCCCGAGCUUAACUUGGGAAUUGCGCUUGUGACUGGCGUGCUGGAGUGUGGCAGAGGGAGGUGGAAUUCCACGUGUAGCAGUGAAAUGCGUAGAGAUGUGGAGGAACACCAGUGGCGAAGGCGGCCACCUGGACGGUCACUGACGCUGAGACGCGAAAGCGUGGGUAGCAAACAGG